rnacentral:rRNA from 1 species
UAGGGAAUCUUCGGCAAUGGACGAAAGUCUGACCGAGCAACGCCGCGUGAGUGAAGAAGGUUUUCGGAUCGUAAAACUCUGUUGUUAGAGAAGAACAAGGACGUUAGUAACUGAACGUCCCCUGACGGUAUCUAACCAGAAAGCCACGGCUAACUACGUGCCAGCAGCCGCGGUAAUCCGUAGGUGGCAAGCGUUGUCCGGAUUUAUUGGGCGUAAAGCGAGCGCAGGCGGUUUCUUAAGUCUGAUGUGAAAGCCCCCGGCUCAACCGGGGAGGGUCAUUGGAAACUGGGAGACUUGAGUGCAGAAGAGGAUAGUGGAAUUCCAUGUGUAGCGGUGAAAUGCGUAGAUAUAUGGAGGAACACCAGUGGCGAAGGCGGCUCUCUGGUCUGUAACUGACGCUGAGGCUCGAAAGCGUGGGGAGCAAACAGG